rnacentral:rRNA from 1 species
UACGUAGGGGGCAAGCGUUGUCCGGAAUCAUUGGGCGUAAAGAGCGCGUAGGCGGCCUUGUAAGUCCGCUGUGAAAGUCAAGGGCUCAACCCUUGGAUGCCGGUGGAUACUGCAGGGCUAGAGUCCGGAAGAGGCGAGUGGAAUUCCUGGUGUAGCGGUGAAAUGCGCAGAUAUCAGGAGGAACACCGAUGGCGAAAGCGGCUCUCUGGAACGGUACUGACGCUGAGACGCGAAAGCGUGGGGAGCGAACAGG